UCCUGGCUUAGGACGAACGCUGGCGGCGCGCCUAACACAUGCAAGUCGAACGAGAGAGAGGGAGCUUGCUCUCCUCAAUCGAGUGGCGAACGGGUGAGUAACGCGUGAGGAACCUGCCUCAAAGAGGGGGACAACAGUUGGAAACGACUGCUAAUACCGCAUAAGCCCACAGCUCGGCAUCGAGCAGAGGGAAAAGGAGCAAUCCGCUUUGAGAUGGCCUCGCGUCCGAUUAGCUGGUUGGUGAGGUAACGGCCCACCAAGGCGACGAUCGGUAGCCGGACUGAGAGGUUGAACGGCCACAUUGGGACUGAGACACGGCCCAGACUCCUACGGGAGGCAGCAGUGGGGAAUAUUGCACAAUGGGGGAAACCCUGAUGCAGCGACGCCGCGUGGAGGAAGAAGGUCUUCGGAUUGUAAACUCCUGUUGUUGAGGAAGAUAAUGACGGUACUCAACAAGGAAGUGACGGCUAACUACGUGCCAGCAGCCGCGGUAAAACGUAGGUCACAAGCGUUGUCCGGAAUUACUGGGUGUAAAGGGAGCGCAGGCGGGAAGACAAGUUGGAAGUGAAAUCUAUGGGCUCAACCCAUAAACUGCUUUCAAAACUGUUUUUCUUGAGUAGUGCAGAGGUAGGCGAAUUCCCGGUGUAGCGGUGGAAUGCGUAGAUAUCGGGAGGAACACCAGUGGCGAAGGCGCCUACUGGGCACCAACUGACGCUGAGGCUCGAAAGUGUGGGUAGCAAACAGGAUUAGAUACCCUGGUAGUCCACACCGUAAACGAUGAUUACUAGGUGUUGGAGGAUUGACCCCUUCAGUGCCGCAGUUAACACAAUAAGUAAUCCACCUGGGGAGUACGACCGCAAGGUUGAAACUCAAAGGAAUUGACGGGGGCCCGCACAAGCAGUGGAGUAUGUGGUUUAAUUCGACGCAACGCGAAGAACCUUACCAAGUCUUGACAUCCUGCGACGGACAUAGAAAUAUGUGUUUCCUUCGGGACGCAGAGACAGGUGGUGCAUGGUUGUCGUCAGCUCGUGUCGUGAGAUGUUGGGUUAAGUCCCGCAACGAGCGCAACCCUUACUGUCAGUUACUACGCAAGAGGACUCUGGCAGGACUGCCGUUGACAAAACGGAGGAAGGUGGGGAUGACGUCAAAUCAUCAUGCCCUUUAUGACUUGGGCUACACACGUACUACAAUGGCGUUAAACAAAGAGAAGCAAGACCGCGAGGUGGAGCAAAACUCAGAAACAACGUCCCAGUUCGGACUGCAGGCUGCAACUCGCCUGCACGAAGUCGGAAUUGCUAGUAAUCGUGGAUCAGCAUGCCACGGUGAAUACGUUCCCGGGCCUGUACACACCGCCCGUC
rnacentral:rRNA from 1 species